rnacentral:lncRNA from 13 species
GUUUUAUAGUUUUCCUUGCAGAGAUCUUUCAUCUCCUUCGUUAGAUGUAUUCCUAGGUAUUUUUUGUGGCUAUGAAACAUGGAUGGAGCUGGAGGCCAUUAUCUUAUCAAACUAAUUCAAGAACAGAAAACCAAAUAACACAUGCCCUCACUUAUAAGUGAGAGGGAAAGGAUGAAGAAGAGAUGGACACAAAGAGAAACAACAGUUGAAAUUAUACUUGAGUCUGAAGCAGAAGAACCAGCUGAUUCCUCUUGACAUUCGCCUACCACCUGGGAAAAAAAUUACUCUCAAAAUACAAAUAUAGCCUGGAUCCCAAGAUGGCCAAAUAAGAGGCAGCUCGCAGCAAGAAAGAUGCAGAAACGGAGUGAUCUCCACAAUUCCAAAUGAG